UUGCUAAUAUAGCCAUAGCCAAAAAAUAUACCUGCUCCCUAAAUCAGGACAUUUUGCUACAGAAAAUGCAUUCAAAUAAAGCAGUGUUGGGAUGAAUUUAUCAAUUAUGGAACUUCACAGAUUUCACUGGCAUUGAAUGACAGUUAAUCAGUGACAUUACAAAAUAUGCAAAUCUGGAUCAAAUCAUUAAUAUAGGCAAAUAUAGGCAAAAUAUUAAAGAUAUAAAUGAAAAAGAUAUAAAAUGACAGUUCUUUAAUUGUAUACCACCUCAAGAAGGUGAAAUAAGUACCUUCCAGUAAUAAUUUAUCAACUAGUGAAAACUACAAAGUUGCUAUGAAUUCAGAAAUGUAAAUAUCUCUGUUAGAUGAAAGCCUAUAAAUCUCAUAAACUCUGUUAUGGGAGUCACAGAAUUACUCAAAAAAAAACCCCAAAAGAACAUAUUUACUAAAGAAGAAACUGUGUUUAGACUUCAGUUUCCCAAAUCCUCGUCAUGCCAUUACUCAUUCUCUCCUAGGAGGAAAGAUCCUGAAUGCAGCAUGCAGAGGUUUGAUAACCAAGUGGCUAGAUUUGGAACAGAUUUUUGAGGAAGCUUGUGUCACUUCAGUGAAGUGGCUUGAAGGAUAAUAGAAGCACGUCCAGUAGAUCUGUGUCAGUGCAGAGUCCAGUUCUUGUGUUUGUCAGACAUGUGGCCAAGAAAUACUCUCACAGCCUAGGAAACUAGUUGUACAGCAUUUCGUGUCUUGGCAAGGAAGGCAGCUCCUUCAGCUUUCAGCACCGCAUUGCAAGCUCCAGAUCAAAUCCUGCUUUCACAUACAGCACAGUGAGAGGAUUAUGGCCCCCCUUACCCUUUCCCAUUCACUACAGUUUUAUGAGUGGUGUUUUGUUUCAGUACAGAGGCAUGCUGAGCCCUAUGGACUACUACUCUGCACUUACAUUCAGUUAUUUCUACCUGGGCAGCUGGCACUUGUGACCUGAUGGCGUUUUACAGACUUUACCUCAUUGUUACUAACAAUACAAAGGGCAAAAAGCAAGAGUAAGUAACUUGGACCCUGUCAUACUGAAUUCUAUCAUUUAUAUAGCAUGUGAGCACACCUAAAUCUCAGACUC